GACGAACGCUGGCGGCGUGCUUAACACAUGCAAGUCGAACGGAAAGGCCCUGCUUUUGUGGGGUGCUCGAGUGGCGAACGGGUGAGUAACACGUGAGUAACCUGCCCUUGACUUUGGGAUAACUUCAGGAAACUGGGCUAAUACCCGGUUAGGGGUCCUGGCGCCAGGGGGGGGGUGGGAAGGUUUCGGCGGUGGGGGAUGGAUCCGCGGCUUACCGGUUUGUUGGUGGGGAAGUGGCUUACCAAGGCUUUGAGGGGUAGCCGGCCUGAGAGGGGGACCGGCCACAUUGGGACUGAGAUACGGCCCAGACUCCUACGGGAGGCAGCAGUGGGGAAUAUUGCACAAUGGGCGGAAGCCUGAUGCAGCAACGCCGCGUGCGGGAUGACGGCCUUCGGGUUGUAAACCGCUUUCGCCUGUGACGAAGCGUGAGUGACGGUAAUGGGUAAAGAAGCACCGGCUAACUACGUG
rnacentral:rRNA from 1 species